rfam:Pristionchus pacificus strain PS312 contig6983, whole genome shotgun sequence.
UCUUCAUUUCUCACACUAUCUCCGGUCAGAGUUGCGAGAGAGUGUGUGAAAUGAAGAGA